AUUCAGGAGCAGGGAGAACAGGCCCAUUGUCUCCCUGACGGCGCGUUCCCCGGUGUGAUUAGAACAACUGAGAACCCAGAGCGCGCUCCCGACUCCAGCCACGAAUGCAGCGUGGCCCAGCCACACGGCGUCAAGGUCCCAAGGACGUGAAUUCAGAAAUGACGAAAUCACAGACGUCAACAACAGCUUGCCUCCCUCCGCGCCAGGCUUCCAUCCAGAUGGAGUGAAUCCUCCCUAUCGACAGCACCUUCCUCUAUGACCUGACUCAAGCCCUGCACUGCUCGCGGUCCCUCUGAGAGCCUCUGAACUACCCUGCCUGCUCCUGCUCGCCCACGGGUCACUGACAACCAGAAGCGUUUGCAUGGUUUUGCAGACUUCCCAAGACACUUCCGGUCGUGAUUUUGUCCGGCCUCGUGAAACUCUGAGAGCAACGUUUCUUGCAAGCAGCCCAUUUCCCAACAACGUUGAAUUGUCCACGUGGCAGAGAGAUGCCAGCGGGAUAAGUGCACGGACACAGAGGACUGUCCAUGGGAAGGUAACACAGGGCAGCCUCUGCGCCUGCAGGGGCAAAAUAUGUUGGUCUGGAAAUGUGGGGAGUCUCUGAGUCCAAAAACCUCCGCCAGCCAAAGCCUCUCACUCGCUCACCCUGGACUCCCUUUGCAUAGUAAGGCACUCUCCAUACCGCCGAGGGUAAAUGCUGGGGGCCCCUCUCCCCUUUCGUGCUGAUCCCAAAGCCUGGUAUCAUACUCGAGGAAAAUAUGAAUGUGCAAACUAAAACAAAUCAACAGGUACCAGGAUCUCCUUUUGGAAAGUUCGUCCAUCCACAGAGACACGUGUUGAACGGCGGUGCCCCUGGACGGAGGUGGUGAGGGAAGGAUUGCGGGCGGGCGGGUCGGUCGGCGCACGGCACACAGGGAAGGGGCAGGUGGGAAUGGAAAUCCCUGAUGGGGCUGCCCUCGUGGGGGCUGCAGGGACCCCCGAGGAGCCCCCAGGCUCUCCGUGACAUGGCGAGGAGACGCGAUCUUAUCUCCGUGGGCAGUGGUCGCAGUGGCGGAUGGGCAGGACCAGCCCCGGGAGGGCCCAGCCACACUGGGGCGCGGAAAGACGCACUGAGAACCGACAAUCUGGUGGAAGCUGGUGGACGUGGGGCCUCUCGCGCGUCAAAGAGCGCACGACUCCACCGGCUCCCACAGCCACAACCAGAUGCUGACCGCACAGGCCGGGCUGGCCCAGGCCUUGCCUUUCUGCCCAGCUCCCACGGAGGCUGCAGCUGCCGCUGCUGCUGGCGCGGCGUAUGCACGGAGGAGCGGCCCCAAGACGUGGGGGCCCAGCCAGGUGUCGGGUCAUUCCCGCACCGUCUGAUGGUGGCCAGAGCGGACUGCGGGAGCUAAGGGCACAGGUGAGGCUUUCCUCCCGGGAAAGUCUCCAACCAGACAGCACGGGGGAUGCUGAGCUGAGACCUCUGGUCGUUCACUCAGCCGCAGCCAGCCUCCCCGAGCCGCAUGGUCUCUUUCUUACUGACCUUUCACGUCCCCUCAAGUGGUUCUGUGGCAUCUGAGUGUGAAGGGCAUCUUUUUCCUUCCCGCCUUCCUUUUUUUUUUUUUUUUUUUUUUUUAAUGGGAGGUUUUUAUGCCGGUCUCUGAGUUCGGACAUUCAGUACAAGUUCUUAUUUUUUAAGAUUUUACAUCCUCUCCCUCGAUGGAUAUGUGACAAUACAGUCUGAUUGUUCUAAUCAUGGCACGUAUGGCAAAUAAUGACUAAUGAAACUUGGUGCAAUGUGGCAUAUGGGAGUUCACCGAUUGCUUUUGCUCACACUUUCUCUUUUAAUCCUUGCGAUGCUCUGGGAGAAUCUAGCAUGUGUUCCAUUCCACAUUCCAGGGACAAAGUCCAAGCCAAACAUGGCAUUUUCUGAGAAUCUUGCCUUUCUCAUCCCAUGGACCAAAUAAGCAGGCUGACAUUUUAAAAUAUGUUUAUCCCCAAACCGGUUUACUGGCACCGUACAUGAGAAUGCUCUGUGCGGGGUUCCGGCAACGUGGAAGCUUCAGGAACAGGGAGGCGAGCCCAGGAGAAAGCGAUGCGCCCACGGCAGGGCUCCUCGUCCCUCCUGUGCCUUGUCCGACAAGGCUGAAUGCAGAGAGGGCAGGCGUCUUCUGUCCACUGGGGCUCUCAGAGCUGCCCCAGGCUGGACCUGGUGUCUGAAUUGAAAUCACUCCACAGAGCUCACUCGGACGCCCUACCACACACCCCCACAAAUGGGCCCACCAGAGCUACUUCUUGGCAAGUAUGCCAGUGUCCACGCCUGUAGCCCUGAUUCUGAGAAGAGUUCAUGUGCCGAUCUAUUAAAGUUCACUUGGAAAGGAAGGACCCAAUUUUGGAUGGACCCAAGAAUGUCAUAAAAGUUUCCAUUUAGAACAUGCAUUUUUGAAUUGUAACUGACACAUUUUUGACCUGAAACCCAAGAAACAUGAAGGUGACAUCAAGAAGUCUUACGUGAGUUCCAGGGGAGUCACUGACACCUCCAGUCAGACAAAAUGUCCUCCCCAAGCAGAUGGAUGGUCCUACCCCUGCCCUGUUGGGAGGAGCUCGAGCGGACCUGCGGGGGGCGUCCUGAGUCUGUCCAGGCGGAGCUGGAAAGACCAGGUGGAUGAACUGCCCUCGGAGGACGUCCGUCAGGACUCCGUAUGUCUUCGAUGACAAUGCACCAGAGAGUCCCAUCUGACUUGUAGACCUCUUCUUGUAAAUGCCACCUGCAGGCCAUUCUUGUCAACACAUGCCCAGAAUUAUAAACAUCUCAGGUAUUUUAGGAUUGUGUGAAGGUUCUGUGAAUAUUAAAAAAACAAAAACAA